rnacentral:rRNA from 1 species
AUUGAACGCUGGCGGCAGGCCUAACACAUGCAAGUCGAGCAGAUGAAGGGAGCUUGCUCCUGGAUUCAGCGGCGGACGGGUGAGUAAUGCCUAGGAAUCUGCCUGGUAGUGGGGGAUAACGUCCGGAAACGGGCGCUAAUACCGCAUACGUCCUGAGGGAGAAAGUGGGGGAUCUUCGGACCUCACGCUAUCAGAUGAGCCUAGUUCGGAUUAGCUAGUUGGUGGGGUAAAGGCCUACCAAGGCGACGAUCCGUAACUGGUCUGAGAGGAUGAUCAGUCACACUGGAACUGAGACACGGUCCAGACUCCUACGGGAGGCAGCAGUGGGGAAUAUUGGACAAUGGGCGAAAGCCUGAUCCAGCCAUGCCGCGUGUGUGAAGAAGGUCUUCGGAUUGUAAAGCACUUUAAGUUGGGAGGAAGGGCAGUAAGUUAAUACCUUGCUGUUUUGACGUUACCAACAGAAUAAGCACCGGCUAACUUCGUG